GGCGUCUUCAAACUUAAGUAGCAUUAGAAGCAAUUACAUUUGUGCAAAUGUAGAAAGGUUUGUUGCUAUUUCUGACUCCUUCAUACCCCAAGGCAGGAAACUGGGAGGCAGGGCUGUUAACCCUUUCAGGGCAGAGUUCAAGGUAGCCAAGGCUCCCCCCCUUGCUUUGUUGUUUGCAUCCCCGAUGGUGUAACACCAGGCACCUCUCUUUUCAAAGCGAAACCCACGCCUGUUUACUCAGGAAGAAAUUAGUGUUUUCAUUGCAAGGUAUGUUUGGGUGAGAACAGGAUUGCCUGGCAGUCCAUUAGAAAAAAAAAGCCACACUAAGAAACCAUAACCUCAAACGUCUUUGCAUGUAGUGACAGCUUUUCUUUCUAGGUGUAAGUAACAUCUCUUGCGGAGUGCAAAGAUGUAAAGCGUGCAAAGAUAGAGGCUAAGUCUGAAGGAGAAACAAAUUCUGCCCAGCUGACUCCUUAGGAGUCCUUUCCUUCCAUCUGUUGUUACCUUCCAAACCACCCCGAAGUUUAGGAGCUUCAAAGGACAAUGUAUCCAUUCUGAUCCUUCUGCAAUCAGAGCUGGGCUCUGCUCUGCCAUUUUUCUGCCCCACCCGGCCUCCGCUGGGGCUAGAAUGUUCCAGAUGGAUGUGGCACCUAACAGCUGGUGGUGGUCCUGCUGGCAGGGCCGGAGGAGCCGAGGUGUCCUCCUCGGGCAUCGUGCUCCGUCCCCACGUGGGUUCCUUGGGCUUUCUCCCAGCGUGUUCCGACUCACGGAAUAUUCUACAGCAGUGAAAAUGGAGAGCCACAGCUAUACGCAAGAGCUUGGACUGCCUUGACUAAUCCAGCAACCCCGGCAUCUGGCAGCCUCCAGGCUUCUCGCCCUUUCCCAACGAGACUUCUGGCAUUGCCUUGACCAAAGGGGAUGUUGCAGACUCUGCAACGAGAUGAUAUCAGGAAGCCAAAUGCAAAACAGGCAUUCCCACAUCCCCGUUAGCCAACGUGAGUGGAAAUCACAGAGCAUUUCUUUUUUCACAUUUGUUCAUUGCAUCGUUACCAACGAGUCCUCUGUAAAAAACGUGUAAAUGAGGAAAGGGUCAGAUGGAAUAUCGAUGCAAUUGCUCUUAUCGGUGUAAGAAGAAGAGAAGUCACCCAAACGUGUUAGCAAGCGAGAGCUUGAACUUGAUCUAAUAAUCUUAAAAUAAAAACCAACUGUUCUUUGCUUUUGACGGCGGUCUGCAGGCCUGUGUCGAGAGUUGUCCGUUACUAAGGACCAGGGUCAGCAGAGGGUGGCCCAGGGGCCCAAUCCAGCCCCCCCCACCUUAUUGUAAUGUUCUGUUGGAACAGAGCGCACCCAUCUAUAAAUGUUGUCUGAGCCCGUUUCUGUGCAACAAUGAUUGUGGUACAGACCAGACGGCCUCCAAAACCUAAGGCGUUUACUGUCUGCGCCCUCAUGGAAAACCUGUCUGGCUCCUGGGUUAGAAUACUAGAUUUUCAGAGCUAAUGGUAAUCCGAGCAUUCAUUGCAUCUAGAAGUCUUUAACUAGGUGUAUUUUUCCCCAGUCUGUCUGUCGGUCCGUCUGUCUCUCUUUCCCCCCUCUUCAUCACCGAGGCUGAGUCUCAGCUGUUGUGAAUCAUUGCACUGCCCUCUCAAAGUCCAGAGAAAUCCAUCUGUGGCGAUAUCCUUAUACAAAGAGGGAAAA